ACACGCGCGCGCCAUUCCGUCCCUCCCGGCUCGCUUCCUUCUUCUUGAAUAAUGGCUCCUAUAAGGUACAUCCUCGGCGCGUCGUCGAUCACAGAGGAGAAAAACGUCACCCAUGAAUGGCAAGCCGAUGCUUCCGGUGCAAGCAAUGAGAAGAAGGAUCCGCCAUCGCGAGAUGCUCGCUCUGCCGCAGAAACGAUGCUUCCGGUACAAGAGAUGAGAAGACGGAGUGGCCCUGCGUUCCGUCGGUGUGGGCGGCAAGCCGGCAACGGCCUGUCCGCCAUCGCGAUGAUCGCUGACGCAGCCUGCCGCAAAACGUUGCUUCCGGUACAAAAGAUGAGAAGACGGAUUGGCCCUGCGUUUAGUCGGUGUGGGCGGCAAGCCGGCAACGGCCUGUCCGCCAUCGCGAUGAUCGCUGACGGGUUUCAAGGUCAGCGACUCAGCGUCUUGGAUUUCGAAUGGGGCAGCAACAUGUCUAGAUUGGAGAAAGAACGGGCGAGGCUGUACCUGGCCACGCAUCAUCAAAUUUGCGGCACUACGAUGGACUAGUUACACUUGCUGGAGUCAUUAAGUCGAUUGUGAUUCUUGCUGGCAACGAGGAGAUUUUGCAGUUUCCUGGAGGUAAAUGUGGCUGCCAUUUUGUGUUGGCGGUAUACAUUCUAUCUGGCACAAUUUGAGGAUGUGGCGGCGUUCAUGCUGUGUAUAUGGUGGUGGUGAGAAAGAGAAGUCGGACAUGGAUCCUACAGGGGUUAGAAUUUUGCCGCGGAAAUUUAAUGUAUAGAUGCAUAAUACGGCCUGGGACAAUUACAAUUCCUGGAAGAUGCCCACUGGAGAUGGCUCUCUGGGAUUCAGUUUUUCAGAUUUUGUUGGAGCACAUUGUUGGAGCAGUGCAUAAGCCCUGCACUUUUGGUUCGUUAAUGAAGCAGAGAAUUUCUUUUGGUACAGGAAAUUCACGUGCUUGAGAUCCUUUUGUGAAUGUUGCGAGACCUUGCAUGAAAUCCGCCAUUAAUCAUCGUGCCUACUUUCUGCUUCGAUCUUUCUCGGCCACUGUCGUACCUCAGAAGCUGUCGACUCGGUCACCGGUGUACAGAACCGACCAUGCUGAACGCUGCGAUCAAAUCUUGGAUGAGUGCAGUUCCAGGAGGGCCAUCGAGCAAACCCAUUCCCAGAUAAUAGUUGGUCAUCUUGCUGGCGACGUGUCAAUAGCAAUCAAGCUCGUAAGAGCUUAUGCUCGGGCUGGGGUUAUUGCCUAUGCGCACAAGGUGUUCGACGAAGUGCCUGAAGGAAAUACGGUCUUGUGCAACGUUUUAAUCAGAGGGUACUGCAAUAAUCACCUAUAUGCAGAUGCGGUCUCCGUAUAUUUGGAGAUGCAAAAUCGUGGCGUGAGUCCGGAUAAAUAUACUUUUCCUUGCGUCUUCAAGGCUUCUUCCGGCUUGGGGAGUCUGCGUCUUGGUCUGCAGCUUCAUGUGGUUCUUAUAAAGUAUGGGUUGGAUUCGAACAUAUUUGUUGGGAAUGCAUUAGUGGCUGUGUACGCUAAAUGCAAUGAUUUGAUUAGUGCACGGCAAAUGUUUGUUGAGAUGCCUCGCCGAGAUGUUGUAUCCUGGAACUCAAUUAUUGCUGGGUACGCACAGAACGGGUGCUUUGAUGAAGCAUUGAAAUUAUGCAAGGAGAUGGGGAUGCAAAAAGUCAAACCUGAUGCAGGUACUAUGGCCAGUAUUCUGCCAGCACUAACUCAUGCAAAAUCUGACGGCAUUCAACUUGUGCGUGAAAUGUUUGAUAGAAUGACUUGUAAGGGAUUGAUUUCCUGGAAUGCUAUGAUUGCUGUGUAUGUGAAUAAUGGUAUGGCAAGCGAUGCAUUGGAAUUAUUUUCAAAGAUGGAAGAUGAAGGGGCCUUGCCUGAUGCAGUUACGCUAGCAACUGUGCUUCCAGCUUGUGGAGAUCUUUCUGCUUUGGAGCAGGGGAAACACAUCCAUGAAUAUGUGUUGAGGAAUAAAAUUGGCCCUAAUUUGUUCCUAGACAAUGCUUUAGUUGACAUGUACGCUAAAUGCGGGAGUCUAUCAGCUGCUAGAGAAGUUUUUGAUGGCAUGACUGGGCGUGAUGUUGUCUCUUGGACAGCAAUGAUAUCUGCAUAUGGUACCCAUGGGCGGGGCCGAGAUGCACUAGAUGUUUUCUCUGAGAUGCUACAUUCUGGCAUUAAACCGGAUCAAAUUGCUUUUGUUUCUGUCUUGUCUGCGUGCAGCCAUGCGGGCUUGCUGAACGAGGGGCGUUACUACUUCGAUUGCAUGACUCGUGAAUAUCAGAUAACUCCUUUGAUUGAACAUUACGUCUGCAUGGUUGACCUUCUUGGACGUGCUGGGAAACUUGACGAAGCAUAUGAUUUCAUUAAGCAGAUGCCAACAGGGCCUAACGAGAGAGUGUGGGGUGCCCUUCUGGGUGCUUGCAGGGUGUAUUCAAAUAUAACUCUCGGUGUGGUUGCAGCAGAUCACUUGUUCAGGUUGGUCCCCGAGCAGGCAGGCUAUUACGUUUUACUAUCAAAUAUGUAUGCGUCAGCUGGGAGAUGGCAAGAUGUUUUAGCAGUCAGAAGUCUCAUGAAAGGGAGAGGAAUCAAAAAGUUGCCUGGGUUUAGUAGCGUUGAGCUAGACGACAAAGUGCAUUCCUUCUUUGUUGGUGACACAUCUCAUCCGCAAACGUUAAAGAUAUAUGCAAAGCUCGAGGAGUUGAUGGGACUGAUGAAGGAGGCUGGAUAUGUUGCUGAGAUCGAUUUUGCUCUUCAUGAUAUUGAGGAGGAGGAGAAGGAAAAUCAUCUUUCUGUUCAUAGUGAGAAGUUGGCAAUUGCUUUCCUCCUCAUAAAUACAGAGCCUGGGAGUCCAAUUAGGGUAACGAAGAACUUACGUGUUUGUGGUGACUGCCACCGUGCUGCAAAGUUCAUCUCUAAGAUCACAGACCGCAAGAUCAUUCUUAGGGAUACAAAUCGUUUUCAUCAUUUUGAGGACGGGACAUGUUCUUGCCAUGAUUAUUGGUGACCAGGGAAUUGGCUUUAGUGAUACUGCUGGCAGAGCAUGCGGCAGGCGUUUCAGGAAUGUAUACAAAAUCAGUGAACUUGAUAACGGGUAUCCUCUCCACAGACCAAGAGAACAUAUACGAGGAGGGGAAAGAUUAUUACUUUCUCAGACUGAAAGAUUGGUGCUUAUUGCCUCUGAAAGGAAGAUUUAUGAGAGAAGCAGCUCUUCAUUUUUUCUCAUGUAAGCGAACUUGCUCUGAUGCACAAGGGGGCAGCAGGUGAUGCUUACUACCUUGGGAAGCAAUACAUACAGGAUGACAGCGGGGAAGAGUAGACUACCAUAAUGAGGCAAGCUGGCUUCACAAAUCAACCUUUUGGCGUAUUCGUAAAAGGAGCCAUCACUUGAUUUUGUUUUAUUUUUCUCAAUAUGGGUGAGUCAAAGGCAGAUUGUAUUUACGAGUUUAUUCUUCACUGCUCUAUUAAAUCCCAUCUAUCUUUCUCUCUUACAAGUAGAAGGUCUUCUGGUGUAAGUACUGUAUUGGGGAGUCUGGUGGAAGUUGAUCAAAGAGUACACUUUGAAGUGAAUGAUACUGACAAGAACAGUUAUAUUGGCUAACGCUAGAUCGCCAUUCCACUGACAACUUGUUCCGAGUGUUGUCUCCAGUAAACUGAGAUAUAUGCUUCCGAGUUUUGUGUCUCCGGUAUAGAAAGAAUUGGCAACUUUUGUUGGCUCAGGAGUAAUUCUUAUAUAAGUGACAAAUGUGUGACCAGUAGCUACAAAAGAUACGGAUGACCAGUAGCUACAAAAGAUACGGAUGAAUGUGUUCGCAUGGGGGAGAAUCGGGCCUGAACGUUCGACGGUGCAGUGCAAGCGCUGGAAUCCCCCUGAAAUUAAUGGUACUAUUUCUGUAGAUCAAUGUUUGGCGAGGCUUCUACCCUUGGUUUCAGCUGGCGAUGGUUCUCUCCAGGUUCUCCUAUCAGUAUGACCAUGGGGCGUGUCCACGUGAAUUUGCCGUGGAAAAUGUUGAGCUUCGUAGUUCGAGUACUCUAUAAAAACAUAACCUUCGAGUGGUGUGCUUUUAUAACACGAAAGUACUUUCUAAUA